rnacentral:rRNA from 1 species
AGCGAACAUUGGCGGUAGGCUUAACACAUGCAAGUCGAGCGAGGCGUAAUAGUCGAGCGGCGAACGGGUGCGUAAUACAUGGGAAUCUACCUCGAAGUGGGGGAUAACGUCCAGAAAUGGACGCUAAUACCGCAUACUCCAUAUCGGGAAAUCGUUGCAGCGCUUUGAGAUGAGCCCAUGGCUGAUUAGCUUGUUGGUGCGGUAACGGCUCACCAAGGAGACGAUCAGUAGCUGGUCUGAGAGGAUGACCAGCGACACUGGAACUGAGACACGGUCCAGACUCCUACGGGAGGCAGCAGUGGGGAAUCUUGCGCAAUGGGGGCAACCCUGACGCAGCCAUACCGCGUGAGUGAUGAAGGUCUUCGGAUUGUAAAGCUCUUUCGGCAGGGACGACGAUGACGGUACCUGCAAAAGAAGUCACGGCUAACUUCGUGCCAGCCGCCGCGGUAA